CAGUCGAACGCCAGCGAAAGGUGCUUGCACCUUUCAAGUGAGUGGCGAACGGGUGAGUAACACGUGGACAACCUGCCUCAAGGCUGGGGAUAACAUUUGGAAACAGAUGCUAAUACCGAAUGAAACUUAGUGUCGCAUGACACGAAGUUAAAAGGCGCUUUGGCGUCACCUAGAGAUGGAUCCGCGGUGCAUUAGUUAGUUGGUGGGGUAAAGGCCUACCAAGACAAUGAUGCAUAGCCGAGUUGAGAGACUGAUCGGCCACAUUGGGACUGAGACACGGCCCAAACUCCUACGGGAGGCUGCAGUAGGGAAUCUUCCACAAUGGGCGAAAGCCUGAUGGAGCAACGCCGCGUGUGUGAUGAAGGCUUUCGGGUCGUAAAGCACUGUUGUAUGGGAAGAACAGCUAGAAUAGGGAAUGAUUUUAGUUUGACGGUACCAUACCAGAAAGGGACGGCUAAAUACGUGCCAGCAGCCGCGGUAAUACGUAUGUCCCGAGCGUUAUCCGGAUUUAUUGGGCGUAAAGCGAGCGCAGACGGUUGAUUAAGCCUGAUGUGAAAGCCCGGAGCUCAACUCCGGAAUGGCAUUGGAAACUGGUUAACUUGAGUGCAGUAGAGGUAAGUGGAACUCCAUGUGUAGCGGUGGAAUGCGUAGAUAUAUGGAAGAACACCAGUGGCGAAGGCGGCUUACUGGACUGUAACUGACGUUGAGGCUCGAAAGUGUGGGUAGCAAACAGGAUUAGAUACCCUGGUAGUCCACACCGUAAACGAUGAACACUAGGUGUUAGGAGGUUUCCGCCUCUUAGUGCCGAAGCUAACGCAUUAAGUGUUCCGCCUGGGGAGUACGACCGCAAGGU
rnacentral:rRNA from 1 species